AAUCCCUUUAACAUUAGUCCAGUGAGGCUAAUAAGGGUCAAGUAGGUAUGACUACAAACACCUUAUUAGCGUCAAAAUAAGGUGUUUUUUUU
rfam:Natranaerobius thermophilus JW/NM-WN-LF, complete genome.